rnacentral:tRNA from 1 species
GCCUUAGUAGUAUAAAAAUUACAUUGGUCUUGUAAACCAAAAACGAAGCACUAUUCUUCCUAAGACA